rnacentral:rRNA from 1 species
GACGAACGCUGGCGGCGUGCUUAACACAUGCAAGUCGAACGGAAAGGCCCUGCUUUUGUGGGGUGCUCGAGUGGCGAACGGGUGAGUAACACGUGAGUAACCUGCCCUUGACUUUGGGAUAACUUCAGGAAACUGGGGCUAAUACCGGAUAGGAGCUCCUGCUGCAUGGUGGGGGUUGGAAAGUUUCGGCGGUUGGGGAUGGACUCGCGGCUUAUCAGCUUGUUGGUGGGGUAGUGGCUUACCAAGGCUUUGACGGGUAGCUGGCCUGAGAGGGUGACCGGCCACAUUGGGACUGAGAUACGGCCCAGACUCCUACGGGAGGCAGCAGUGGGGAAUAUUGCACAAUGGGCGGAAGCCUGAUGCAGCAACGCCGCGUGCGGGAUGACGGCCUUCGGGUUGUAAACCGCUUUCGCCUAUGACGAAGCGUGAGUGACGGUAAUGGGUAAAGAAGCACCGGCUAACUACGUG